GCAGACACUGCUUCUUACGGAGGCUGGGCUGUGGGGAGAGCCACAUGGUUCUUGGCAGGAGCCGAGAGGGUCUGGGCUGCAUACGGAGAGACCUCGCCUGGAGCGCAUUUCCACUGACCUUGGCAUGGCCCAUGGUCUAGCUGAGUUAUCCCCCAAGCAGGUGAUUCCGCUGGCUCCCCUGUGGGAAGGAGCUGGCAGGCAUCUCCCACCACAGAGCCCUGGGCACUGAUGUCCUACAUUCACUCCAUGCGUAUUUUUGGAAGACAUGUUAGAAGCCCAGAGCUCUGCGAGGGACUGGGGAGACUGCAGUGAACAAGGCAGGAAGCUCCCCGCCCCCUGAUGCGGACCUUCGCCGAGGGCAUUCAUCGCCAGACACUGCACUUCGCACACGAGGUGGUGAGUGCACACGAUGGGGAGCGGCUGUCUCCCUCUCUUCCCAAGCCCAGUGACUUGUCACACGUCUGGUCCGUCGCAGGUCUUAGUCAAGGACGGGUGAGCGCAUGAGCAAAAUGCCAGUGCAUGAAAAGCAAACGGGAGGACAAGCUACGGAAUUCUGAGGAGUCAAUGUCCCAGCAUUUGCAGGGCGUGUGAGGACGGCCGUGUGCCUGGUCCACGCGGUAUGCGGUGGAAAAAGAAAACUUACGCUUUCUGGAUGAAUCAACCUCUUCUAAACUGACUUCCCAGAAGACUCAAAAAGAACCCAGAUUUAACACCAAGUCAGCCAGACUGUGCCCAGGACACAUUACACUGCUGGCCUCCGCAGAGGUUUCGCGCCCACGUACGACAAGCUGGGUGGCACAGAACUGGUAUCCAGCGCGUGGAUGAUGGGAAAGCCAUCCAGGUACCCUCAGCCCCCACCUGCUCUGCGGGAGACACUGCGCUGGCCUGGAGCAAGUGGGCACAGAGGGAUGACCGGGCUUCUGACACUCCUCCCCCAGUAUCCGCGGAGAGGCUGAAGUAGUGUUUACCGGACUGCGUGCCCUAUGGUUCUGGCCCCAGAAUCACCUGUGGAAUUAAAGACACAGAUUCCCAGGUCCUGACACUGAACUUCUUGAGCUGAUUGCCAGAGGUGCACUGAUCAAGGUUCAACAUCUGGUUUUCUGGAGGAAAAAGAAAGCCCAGAUUAGUAGCAUUUGCCCAUUUCUGUGGUGUAAAUACUUCCACCGUGACUGACUUCGAGUCUCUCAUGAUGCCAUGGAGUGCGGAAUUGGACAGAGGUGGUAACAACUGGCUCUUGCGAGCUGCUCGGAACUGGCUCUGGGCCAAGACUCCACGUCAUCGCCCUAACGUCAUGACCACCUCCUCUGGUUGGGUACACCGUCAGGCAUGCACACAUGACAGCGCAUAUAAUCGUAACCAUCACUGUUUGAGGCAGGGAUCAUUAGUACCGGUUCAAGGAUAAGGGGACUGAGCUCAGGGGGACUGUGCGGCCCGCACAGGCUCACACCAUGAGAAGGUGGCACUCUGCCCCCGCCCCCAUUUCAAGCCCUCCUGUUUCUUCCCUGGAUUAGUACCUUGCUUCCCAACAGGCUUCAUGAAUGCAGUGUCCCUGGGGUCCUCCCUCAGUGCUCUUUUGUGUAUAUAACCAUCUACCCCAGUUCAGAACUGAGUCCAGUUUACUUAGCUUGCCCUAGAAUGCAGCCUAUACUUCCUCAUACAAUCCCUUUACUCUGGCAAAAUUGAUUUCCCCACUGUCCCCAGAUGUGCCUAAAAUCACUGACCACCCUCUCCCAUCAGCUUUUCCCUACCCUGCUUAUCCAGGAUGGUCCCAUGCAAAUCCUGGCCCCUCCUACCAGCUCUGCUGGACCACCUUAGUCCCUGGGGCUCUCUUCCUGAAUGUCUACAGCGUUUUUGCCUGGACUACUUGCUUGGGCCUCAGCACC